rnacentral:tmRNA from 2 species
GGGGGUGACAGGUUUCGACAUCGUACGUUGCGGCAGGAGAAGCGAGCCGAGGAAGCCGACGUCGUCUCGAUAAUCGUCGUCGGAAAACUAUAAGCGCCAAGACUAACGUCAAGCGCGACUUCGCUCUCGCCGCCUGAGGCGAGUAGCAAGUCUGUCGGUCCGGGAGUGCCUAUGGCCCGUGUACCGGCAUCAGUUAAUAGGCUGGCCGAUUCAGUCCCGUCGCGGGGCUGCUGAGGCGAGAUCAAUCGCGACUGGGCCCGUCACACCGUCUCGCUCAUGUGAUCGGUGGGGUCGAGUAGAGGCAUAGUGAGCUGCGCUCGGAGAAGCCCUGUCAAUGCGGCGAUGGACCCGGGUUCGAUUCCCGGCACCUCCACCA